AACAAUGAGGUGAACAACAAACAAAGGUAAACUACAACCCUAACAUAAGGUAUGUGCUAUUUAGACAUUGUGCACAAUGUUCAGUGUGUUAUGUUAACUAGAUAUGUAAGAAUGGAAUCUGGCCAGAUAUCUUAUUUUACUAUCUGGCCAGCUAUUUGGUGCAGUGUAUGAGUGAAUCUGUUUGUUCCUAUGCCUGCAGUGUCUUGACUUUUAUUUCUUGUGUGUCUUCUAACUGAACUCAAACCAGUAGAAGAUUGAAAUGAGACUUACUGAGAAAACAAAGGGUAGACUACACACCAUCUCUAACAGAAAUAUUCUGGAGGAAAACAGCAUAAAUAGAUUUCCCUGUUGAAGAGAACAUAUUGAGAAUAUAUAUACAUGCAUUUCAAUGGCAUAGAGAAACCUUUUCAUUUCUUGGAUAACCUUACAGUUUCUUGGAAAACCUUACAGUUUCUUGGAAAACCUUACAGUUUCUUGGAAAACCUUACAGUUUCUUGGAUAACCUUAUAGUUUCUUGGAUAACCUUACAGCUUCUUGGAUAACCUUACAGUUUCUUAGAUAACCUUACAGUUUCUUGGAUAGUCCAAUGUUGAUUCAAGACUAUGACCUCCAAACCUAAACCUCCAGCAAGAUGAUGGGGAUAGUUAAGGGGAGGGCUAGAACCACAGACCAGAGCACAUACUACACAACUAGACAAAGUUCCUAGAGAACUGUUUAUGGAAAUGUACAGUAGAGGCUUGAAGGGAAAUCUCUUGUCAAUUAAAAAAUGAAAGAAUGAAAGAUCUGUGAGAUCUUGCCAAUGAAAAAAAGGCAGGUCUUGAACAUUGAGUGAUCAAGUUUUGUGUUGGCUCCUGGUGGAAGUGCCCAUCAAGUAGGUUAGGAGUUGUAUUGUUGUUGUUUUCUUUAGAUACAAAUGAUGCUAACCAUCUCAAAACCAAGAACAGAGCACAACAGAGAACAGAUCCUCAAACUUAAAAAGAGAAAUACCUUCAACACCUACAUAAUUUCUUUCAUAUAUUUGUAAAUUUCAAAACAUUUUCAACACAGUUUGGCACACUGGGGAACUAUGGAAAAAUAAAAUAUCAAUCAAAACAAUGAAAAUAACUUUUACAUCCAACUCACUAGUACUUCAAAAACAACAUUGGGAACACCCACAGCUGGAGUCAAGGCUUACUAAUACUUUUCAGUGAUCUUACAUAAAAGGAUAAUGGAAGAUGCUCUUGAAAGUACGGUAUGCAAUGGUGGGAGAAAAAUGACUUGCACUUUGUGGAUGUCUAGCUGAUGCACAUAUACAGGUCUGGCAGGAAGAGAUAGUGUCUAGCUGAUGCACAUAUACGGGUCUGGCAGGAAGAAAUAGUGUCUAGCUGAUGCACAUAGACAGGUCUGACAGGAAGAGCUGGGGUCUAGCUGAUGCACAUAGACAGGUCAGGCAGGUAGAAAUAGUGUCUAGCUGAUGCACAGAGACAGGUCAGGCAGGUAGAAAUAGUGUCUAGCUGAUGCACAGAGACAGGUCAGGCAGGUAGAAAUAGUGUCUAGCUGAUGCACAGAGACAGGUCAGGCAGGUAGAAAUAGGGUCUAGCUGAUGCACAUAGACAGGUCAGGCAGGUAGAAAUAGUGUCUAGCUGAUGCACAUAGACAGGUCAGGCAGGUAGAAAUAGUGUCUAGCUGAUGCACAGAGACAGGUCAGGCAGGUAGAAAUAGUGUCUAGCUGAUGCAUAUAGACAGGUCUGGCAGGAAGAGCUGGGGUCUAGCUGAUGCACAUAGACAGGUCAGGCAGGUAGAAAUAGUGUCUAGCUGAUGCACAGAGACAGGUCAGGCAGG
rnacentral:sRNA from 1 species